rnacentral:misc_RNA from 1 species
GAUGAAGAACGUAGCGAAAUGCGAUAAGUAAUGUGAAUUGCAGAAUUCAGUGAAUCAUCGAAUCUUUGAACGCACAUUGCGCCCGCCAGUAUUCUGGCGGGCAUGCCUGUUCGAGCGUCAUUACAACCCUCAGGCCCCCGGGCCUGGCGUUGGGGAUCGGCGGAGCCCCCCGUGGGCACACGCCGUCCCCCAAAUGCAGUGGCGGUCCUGCCGCAGCUUCCAUCGCGUAGUAGCUAACACCUCGCGACUGGAGAGCGGCGCGGCCACGCCGUAAAACACCCAACUCUUCUGAAGUUGACCUCGAAUCAGGUAGGAAUACCCGCUGAACUUAAGCAUAUCAAUAAGCGGAGGA